CAAUAGCGUAUAUUUAAGUUGCUGCAGUUAAAAAGCUCGUAGUUGGAUUUCGGGUGGGAAUGGCCGGUCCGCCGUUUCGGUGUGCACUUGCUACGCCCACCUUGCUGCCGGGGACGUGCUCUUGAGUUCACGCUCGGGACACGGAGUCGGCGAGGUUACUUUGAGUAAAUUAGAGUGUUCAAAGCAGGCCUACGCUCUGAAUACAUUAGCAUGGAAUAACACGAUAGGACUCUGGCCUAUCUUGUUGGUCUGUAGGACCGGAGUAAUGAUUAAGAGGGACAGUCGGGGGCAUUCGUAUUUCAUUGUCAGAGGUGAAAUUCUUGGAUUUACGGAAGACGAACUUCUGCGAAAGCAUUUGCCAAGGAUGUUUUCAUUAA
rnacentral:rRNA from 1 species